GAUCCUGGCUCAGAUUGAACGCUGGCGGCAUGCCUUACACAUGCAAGUCGAACGGCAGCACGGGAGCAAUCCUGGUGGCGAGUGGCGAACGGGUGAGUAAUAUAUCGGAACGUGCCCAGUCGUGGGGGGAUAACUACUCGAAAGAGUGGCUAAUACCGCAUACGAUCUCUGGAUGAAAGCGGGGGACCUUCGGGCCUCGCGCGAUUGGAGCGGCCGAUAUCAGAUUAGGUAGUUGGUAGGGUAAAAGCCUACCAAGCCUGCGAUCUGUAGCUGGUCUGAGAGGACGACCAGCCACACUGGAACUGAGACACGGUCCAGACUCCUACGGGAGGCAGCAGUGGGGAAUAUUGCACAAUGGGCGAAAGCCUGAUGCAGCAACGCCGCGUGAGGGAUGAAGGCCUUCGGGUUGUAAACCUCUUUUAGCAGGGAAGAAGCGAAAGUGACGGUACCUGCAGAAAAGCACCGGCUAACUACGUG
rnacentral:rRNA from 1 species